GACGAACGCUGGCGGCGUGCUUAACACAUGCAAGUCGAACGGAAAGGCCCUGCUUUUGUGGGGUGCUCGAGUGGCGAACGGGUGAGUAACGCGUGAGUAACCUGCCCUUGACUUUGGGAUAACUUCAGGAAACUGGGGCUAAUACCGGAUAGGAGCUCCUGCUGCAUGGUGGGGGUUGGAAAGUUUCGGCGGUUGGGGAUGGACUCGCGGCUUAUCAGCUUGUUGGUGGGGUAGUGGCUUACCAAGGCUUUGACGGGUAGCCGGCCUGAGAGGGUGACCGGCAACAUUGGGACUGAGAUACGGCCCAGACUCCUACGGGAGGCAGCAGUGGGGAAUAUUGCACAAUGGGCGGAAGCCUGAUGCAGCAACGCCGCGUGCGGGAUGACGGCCUUCGGGUUGUAAACCGCUUUCGCCUGUGACGAAGCGUGAGUGACGGUAAUGGGUAAAGAAGCACCGGCUAACUACGUG
rnacentral:rRNA from 1 species